CUUGACGGAACCCAACUGCAGCGGGAUCUCCCGAUCCUGACCGUACGUGGCCAGCAGCGCCUGCGCCUC
rnacentral:antisense_RNA from 1 species